rnacentral:rRNA from 1 species
UGGGGAAUUUUGGACAAUGGGCGAAAGCCUGAUCCAGCAAUGCCGCGUGUGUGAAGAAGGCCUUCGGGUUGUAAAGCACUUUUGUCCGGAAAGAAAUCCUUGGCUCUAAUACAGUCGGGGGAUGACGGUACCGGAAGAAUAAGCACCGGCUAACUACGUGCCAGCAGCCGCGGUAAUACGUAGGGUGCAAGCGUUAAUCGGAAUUACUGGGCGUAAAGCGUGCGCAGGCGGUUUGCUAAGACCGAUGUGAAAUCCCCGGGCUCAACCUGGGAACUGCAUUGGUGACUGGCAGGCUAGAGUAUGGCAGAGGGGGGUUAGAAUUCCACGUGUAGCAGUGAAAUGCGUAGAGAUGUGGAGGAAUACCGAUGGCGAAGGCAGCCCCCUGGCCAAGUACUGACGCUCAUGCACGAAAGGCGU